CAGCCGCCGCGGUAACACGUAGGGUGCGAGCGUUAAUCGGAAUUACUGGGCGUAAAGCGUGCGCAGGCGGUUUUGUAAGACAGAGGUGAAAUCCCCGGGCUCAACCUGGGAACUGCCUUUGUGACUGCAAGGCUAGAGUACGGCAGAGGGGGAUGGAAUUCCGCGUGUAGCAGUGAAAUGCGUAGAUAUGCGGAGGAACACCGAUGGCGAAGGCAAUCCCCUGGGCCUGUACUGACGCUCAUGCACGAAAGCGUGGGGAGCAAACAGGAUUAGAUACCCCUGUAGUCCCUGUCUCUUAUAC
rnacentral:rRNA from 1 species